AAUCAACAUGUGUACGUUUACUCAACGACUACUUUUCUGAUAACUCUUCAGAUCAGCGAAUUCAAAUUCAGCGUGAACGUGAGCUGUUCUGACUACUUUUCUGAUAACUCUUCAGAUCAGCGAAUUCAAAUUCAGUGUGAACGUGAGCUGUUCUGACUACUUUUCUGAUAACACUCCAGAUCAGCGAAUUCAAAUUCAGUGUGAACGCGAGCUGUUCUGACUACUUUUCUGAUAACUCUUCAGAUCAGCGAAUUCAAAUUCAGUGUGAACGUGAGAUGUUCUGACUUCUUUUCUGAUAACACUUCAGAUCAGCGAAUUCAAAUUCAGCGUGAACGCGAGAUGUUCUGAAUACUUUUCUGAUAACACUUCAGAUCAGCGAAUUCAAAUUCAGUGUGAACGCGAGCUGUUCUGACUUCUUUUCUGAUAACACUUCAGAUCAGCGAAUUCAAAUUCAGUGUGAACGUGAGCUGUUCUGACUACUUUUCUGAUAACACUCCAGAUCAGCGAAUUCAAAUUCAGUGUGAACGCGAGCUGUUCUGACUACUUUUCUGAUAACUCUUCAGAUCAGCGAAUUCAAAUUCAGUGUGAACGCGAGCUGUUCUGACUUCUUUUCUGAUAACACUUCAGAUCAGCGAAUUCAAAUUCAGCGUGAACGCGAGAUGUUCUGAAUACUUUUCUGAUAACACUUCAGAUCAGCGAAUUCAAAUUCAGUGUGAACGUGAGAUGUUCUGACUUCUUUUCUGAUAACACUUCAGAUCAGCGAAUUCAAAUUCAGCGUGAACGCGAGAUGUUCUGACUUCUUUUCUGAUAACACUUCAGAUCAGCGAAUUCAAAUUCAGUGUGAACGUGAGCUGUUCUGACUUUUCUGAUAACAGUUCAGAUCAGCGAAUUCAAAUUCAGUGUGAACGCGAGAUGUUCUGACUUCUUUUCUGAUAACACUUCAGAUCAGCGAAUUCAAAUUCAGUGUGAACGCGAGAUGUUCUGACUUCUUUUCUGAUAACACUUCAGAUCAGCGAAUUCAAAUUCAGUGUGAACGCGAGAUGUUCUGACUUCAUUUCUGAUAACACUUCAGAUCAGCGAAUUCAAAUUCAGUGUGAACGCGAGAUGUUCUGACUUCUUUUCU